GAUCACACACCUUACCGCGUAUGAAAACGUUGCAUCGAUGCUUUACCAAAGGCAAAAAACCUAGGGCAAUUGCCACAAUGGUGCUCGUUCGCCUCAAACAGAUUGUCGCUUCAUGGAGUGCUGUUUCAAGGGCUAGGUAAGGCGAGUAGAUCGUAGACGAAAAGGUGUUCAAGCGUUUCUGGACACGCAAAAAAUGCAUUCUUCAUUACAUCUGAAGAAGCUUCUCGCAGGUACGUAGGGGUACCUAGGUAGCCUCAAGGAGGCGGAGGGACGGGGAAUCCGCCUGUCCUCGUCGCAGGACAAUAUGAUUUAAUCAAAUGAGAUUGCCGUCUUCUACAUGCUCUACCAAAAAAUAAUUACCAUUUCGCUCCUGGAAAUGCCUCCGCUACUUUUCGAUGUGGAAUUUGCCGUCUUGCAAGCGACGCGUGCGUGCGCAGAGGGUUGCAGAGAUGGGGGAUUGGGGGCAGGUACUGGUCAGGCGGGAUGGGGAAUAGGGUUGACGACGUCAGGAUGGGAUGUGGGGCCCAGGGCGAGGAUUAGGGAUUAGGCGUGCUACACUACUUUUGGGAUGGGGAUUGCUGUCGGGGGUGAGGAUGGGGAUGGGAUCCCUGUCUGAGGGAUGGGGAUUGCAACCUUGACCAAGGAGGGGAUUGGGAGCCCUGGCCAGGGAUGGGGAUGGGACCCUGGUCGACAGGACGGGGAUUGCAGGCUUUCGCAAGUUUAGGAUGAGGUCGCUGCCAUAGGAUUGGGAACACAGUUGGAGGAUUAGAAUUGGGUGUUCUGCUGUAAAAUGAGGCUGCAGGUGCAGAACUUGGAAACUGACAGGACUGCAAAACAGGAUGGUUUAGGGGGUGUUUCCACUUGGAUUAAAAGUCGCGGAUUAAGGCUUAAUCCGUCGCAUAUGGAAACAUCGCGCGGAUUAGGACGGAUUAGGCGGAUUAAGGUUGGCGCGAUUAGUUAGAGAUUUCCGUCCGUAUUCACGCGCUUCGCGGAUUAAUUAUAGAUUAAUAUGCUAUGAAAUGCGAGCUUUCUGCUUAUACUAAAAGCUCAAACUUGGUGCGAAAAAUUUGCUACCUGGUGGCCACCAGGUAUCAAAUUGACAAUCUCGGAUUAACACUUUUCACGACGGCUCAUAAAAAGCCUGAGUGAUAGGUUGGAAGGUUAUCCUUUAUAAAGGCUGUAGGUGUUCCUAGUUUUGUGGAAGCUUUGUGCUUCUUGUUCGGCAUUAUGUACCACACCGUGGGUGUCGUUCAAAGGUGCUACAAGGCCUUCAUGUUGAUACUCGAUAGUCUUUUAAAUGUCUGGCAAUACUCGUUUUUGCAUUUUAUGCACGGAAUGAGCAAGUGUCGUACUUCAAUCCGUUUCUUAAUCCAGAUGUAUGNNNNNNNNNNNNNNNNNNNNNNNNNNNNNNNNNNNNNNNNNNNNNNNNNNCGUUGCAUCAUAACAUUAACUAGUUGUAAGAAAGGCGGCAGGAAUAGGAGCAUCCAUACGCGCACGCAACUAGACCCCCGCCGUGAGAUGCGUCGGCGGCUGUGAGGCAGGUGGGACAUGCCUGUGAGGCUGAAAGGGCUUCCGGACGCAUAAAUCGCACCAGGCGCCGUCGUACGCCGGACCAACGAUGCAUCAUAACAGUAACUAGAUGUUAGAAAGGCGGCAGAAAUAGGAGCAUCCAUACGGUCACGCAAUUAGAACCCCGCCGUGAGAUGCGUUGGUGGCUGUGAGGCAGGUGGGACAUGCCUGUGAGGCUGAAAGGGCUUCCGGACGCAUAAAUCGCACCAGGCGCCGUCGUACGCCGGACAAACGUUGCAUCAUAACAUUAACUAGUUGUAAGAAAGGCGGCAGGAAUAGGAGCAUCCAUACGCGCACGCAAUUAGACCCCCGCCGUGAGAUGCGUCGGCGGCUGUGAAGCAGGUGGGACAUGCCUGUGAGGCUGAAUGGGCUUCCGGACGCAUAAAUCGCACCAGGCGCCGUCGUACGCCGGACCAACGAUGCAUCAUAACAGUAACUAGAUGUUAGAAAGGCGGCAGAAAUAGGAGCAUCCAUACGGUCACGCAAUUAGAACCCCGCCGUGAGAUGCGUUGGUGGCUGUGAGGCAGGUGGGACAUGCCUGUGAGGCUGAAAGGGCUUCCGGACGCAUAAAUCGCACCAGGCGCCGUCGUACGCCGGACCACCGAUGCAUCAUAACAUAACUAGUUGUUAAAAAGGCGGCAUAAAUCGCACCAGGCGCCGUCGUACGCCGGACAAACGUUGCAUCAUAACAUUAACUAGUUGUAAGAAAGGCGGCAGGAAUAGGAGCAUCCAUACGCGCACGCAAUUAGAACCCCGCCGUGAGAUGCGUCGGUGGCUGUGAGGCAGGUGGGACAUGCCUGGGAGGCUGAAAGGGCUUCCGGACGCAUAAAUCGCACCAGGCGCCGUCGUACGCCGGACAAACGUUGCAUCAUACANNNNNNNNNNNNNNNNNNNNNNNNNNNNNNNNNNNNNNNNNNNNNNNNNNCCUGCUUGCAAGUCGCUUCCCAUAGAAACCAAACUCAAACACAAGGAAGUUCUGCUUAUAAGUCGCGUCCCAUAGCUAACCAAACUCAAACACAAGGAAGUUCUGCUUGCAAGUCGCGUCCCAUAGCUAACCAAACUCAAACACAAGGAAGUUCUGCUUGCAAGUCGCUUCCCAUAGCUAACCAAACUCAAACACAAGGAAGUUCUGCUUGCAAGUCGCGUCCCAUAGCUAACCAAACUCAAACACAAGGAAGUUCUGCUUGCAAGUCGCGUCCCAUAGCUAACCAAACUCAAACACAAGGAAGUUCUGCUUGCAAGUCGCUUCCCAUAGCUAACCAAACUCAAACACAAGGAAGUUCUGCUUGCAAGUCGCGUCCCAUAGCUAACCAAACUCAAACACAAGGAAGUCCUGCUUGCAAGUCGCUUCCCAUAGCUAACCAAACUCAAACACAAGGAAGUCCUGCUUGCAAGUCGCGUCCCAUUGCUAACCAAACUCAAACACAAGGAAGUUCUGCUUGCAAGUCGCGUCCCAUAGCUAACCAAACUCAAACACAAGGAAGUCCUGCUUGCAAGUCGCGUCCCAUAGCUAACCAAACUCAAACACAAGGAAGUUCUGCUUGCAAGUCGCGUCCCAUAGCUAACCAAACUCAAACACAAGGAAGUCCUGCUUGCAAGUCGCUUCCCAUAGCUAACCAAACUCAAACACAAGGAAGUCCUGCUUGCAAGUCGCGUCCCAUUGCUAACCAAACUCAAACACAAGGAAGUUCUGCUUAUAAGUCGCGUCCCAUAGCUAACCAAACUCAAACACAAGGAAGUUCUGCUUAUAAGUCGCGUCCCAUAGCUAACCAAACUCAAACACAAGGAAGUCCUGCUCCGGCAUCGGCCGACUGCCCGAUGGGGUCCAUCCCAAGCGUUUCCACGAUGACUUCGGCCAUGUCCCUGGCGAAGCCCAACCCCGUCAAUUUUGCCAGCUUUUGACGCUUCUGCAGAAGGUUAACACCAUUGGGAAUAGAACAGGCAUGGAACGCGACUUGGUGUAAAUGUGAGAAACGUGCACCAUUGGUGCCAGUUCUUCAGUCAGACGCAGUCCAACCCCGUUCUUACCUUGUCCGGCCCAUGCACAUCCACACCCAGGGCACCAUCGGAUGCCAUUCUGGAAGAGAUAACAAACGGUCGUCGGGCUGUUAAUAGCUU
rnacentral:lncRNA from 1 species